UACAGAGGUCCCAAGCGUUGUUCGGAUUCACUGGGCGUAAAGGGUGCGUAGGCGGUCGGGUAAGUCUGAUGUGAAAUCUCACAGCUUAACUGUGAAACUGCAUUGGAUACUAUCCGGCUAGAGGAAUGGAGGGGAGACUGGAAUACUUGGUGUAGCAGUGAAAUGCGUAGAUAUCGGGAGGAAGGCCGGUGGCGAAGGCGGCGCUCUGGAACGUUUCUGACACUGAGGCUCGAAAGCGUGGGGAGCAAACAGG
rnacentral:rRNA from 1 species